rnacentral:rRNA from 1 species
GAGCCCGUGAAUCCGGGCGGUUAGAAUUCAGAAUCGACGGCGGCGUUUCGCGCGUCCGUCGUCGUUUUGCAAUUUCUGCCGCCGCCUAAAAAACACGGACGUCGCGACCCGUUCGACGUUGGUCUCGAGAACCGCGCUCAAGUUUGCCGCGUAUGUCCGAGCACACACACGUGUGUUUGGCGUACGCGGUGAGGGCGCGGCCUUCUGGCCAGCUGUUCGUCGGACGGUAGGUUAAGAGCGCGGUAAUCGGCGUCCGCUUUGCGCGGACGUCGACACCGGUCAGCGACGAAUCUUCGGGCCUCUUUCCGACCCGUCUUGAAACACGGACCAAGGAGUCUAACGUGUGCGCGAGUCGCGGGGUAUCGAGUCGUCGUCGUUUCGGCGGCCGGCGGCUCGUUACGAUACGAAACCCGUUAGUACUUUGUGCAAGGCGUAAUGAAAGUGAAUGUGCGGCGGCAGCGGCGGGAACUUGUUCUCGCCGAUGCGCGCACAGGGAAGAUGGUGUUCCGAGUACACGUUCCUCGGUCCUACGCCGACCGAGGCCGGACACCCGCACUCCCGGGGCGUCCCAACGGUCCGUCGAGGUCGCUUGCGGCUUCGACGAUCCGGGGCGCACCUAUAGCGUACACGUUUGGUACCCGAAAGAUGGUGAACUAUGCCCGGCCAGGAUGAAGUCAGGGGAAACCCUGAUGGAGGUCCGCA